GUCAAUGAUUAAAAAACGGAUGCUCAAUCAAAGCAACGUGACUCAAAAAUAAAAAAAGUCAAGGGCGAAGAAAAUGGUUCACGUCAAAAAUCAGCUGAAAAAUCUGUUGGUUCUUUUCGUCAUGUCGCACUGUCCGCCAUUAUCGCCAACGUCGGCCAUUUUGUGCAUCUAUACCUGACGUCACCCCAAAACCGUACAGAGAAGGCCAGAUGCGCAGAGACGAAUGGAGGAGAGGGGAAAAAACAAAACACAAGUCGUCAUAAUACAAAGUGCACGGGAAUUUGGACGACUCAUCCAUUGCCACUGUGUGUCUCUAUGUGUGCAGCAUCCAUUUUGUGUUCGUCUCUUUAGACGUCGAGCCAGUCUAUUUCAGGAGUCAUCCCUGGGCAACCCGAAAAGCUUCUGACGUUUACGGUUGUUGCAUGCAUCUUUUUUUGGAAAAAGGGAAGAUGACGAAGGCUGAAGCAGCGGUGGCGGCAGCAGCCACAUGGAAUUCCACCUGUUAGUUGGUUUGCUGGAGCUGGAAGCGUUUGGUUAUCGGCAGCGGUCACGUUCUACUAUCUCGUCUGAACGCGCUAGCAACCCGCUGGUCCGAUCAGAUAUGAAACAUUCCUUUUAUUAUUACUCCCAUUAGAGUUCAAAGAACCAGGCCACUGUUUCUCAUUCAUCGUCCAUACCUCCGAUACAUGUAUGGUAUGCACAUAUAGGCAGACUUACACGGACAAAGACACACACACGUUCGAUGUGUGUUUAAAUAUGUGGUACAGUUACACACAAGUCUGAAAUGUUUUCGCCUCGUUUGUACUACUAGUACGUGGAUUCAAUAAGGAAACUUACAUUUUAAAAAAAUUAAAAAAAGAGGAAAGCCGCCCUCUAGCAAUUGCCAAACAAAUCGAUGCGGAUCCAAAACAAGGAGAGAGAGAGAAAAAAAAAAGCCAGUUAUAGUCAAAUAAGUAAACACGAGCCGAGUUGGUUAUUAGAACGGGGGCUGACGCUCAUGUGUCUGUGUGUGGUUGGAUGUAUACGUGUACAUAACGAUGUUGACUGGGAAUGAAGGAAUGGGGCCGACCCCCUGUUGCUGCCUGAUAUUAUUACAAGCACAGCAGCUUGGACGGACGACGACGUUGCGAGAAACCGCAAACCUGACGAGAGAGAGCUACCCGAGGGCGCCAGCCGUCUGGACGGCCCACACACAACCAACACUGGCCAAACACACAGACGACUAGCUCAGCUACAGACAUUAUUUUCGAUUACAAUACGUGGAUGUAACAAGAAAAGGAAAAAAUAAUCAGAAAAAAAAAAAACAAGUUUGCCACAACCAGGGUCUUAUUUAAAUCAUUCUUCCAUAUCAAGAACACACUAUCCACACGAGGAAGGGGAAUACACAGUAAAACCAAACAAAACAGUAAUAGACCCAAAAAGGGCGACAACAAAUAUUCAAAAAUAUGGUGUUGGUCAAGAGUUCAAAAUAUAGUCAUCAUUGUUUUUCUUGUUUUCUCGUUUUGUAACAACAACAUUAAAAAAAAAAAACACAAAAAUAAAAUAAAAACAAGAAUACUUGUAAAAAAAGAAGGAAAUGAUAAAAAAGAAUGCUGAAGAAUUGAACAAGUGUCAGGCUUAGCCGAGACCUACGUCGAGACACAUCAUCAAAAUGAAGCCGAAUAUGGCUCCCCACGAAGCUUGUCUUCCGUUUCCGCUGCAAAGUGACAAGAGAAUUAUUAGAGAGGAAUCACUUUUGCCUUAUGGCAUACAUGCAGACACACACACACUGUUAUAAGCUGGAUAUUGAUAUCAUUGGUCCCUCCCAGUUUCCGGUCGUCUCUAGUACCCAGUAUCAAGUCAAGAGCCCACAUGUUUCUCUUUUUUUUUUUUUUUUUUGGUUUUUUGGCCUUUAUUGUAUACCAUUAGUCUACCAGCAUCUCUCUAUUACGACAACUUCCUCCAGCAUCUAAUUUCGAUUCCAUAAAUAUUAGAUUCAUUCAAAAACAAUCAAUAUCAACCGAACGCUGAUUCGUUCGACUCAGUCACUAAAACUGGAAUUAACAUUAGUUUUUUGUACAUUACUCUUGAAGUUGGAUGACGAAGAAGAAAAGUAGGAAUAAAAGGAAUGAAAAGACUAGACACAACAUUGAGGCGACCUUCCUAAAGGGUCAUCGAAUUGACUGAUUCGGCUUGUGCACGAUUCCACCAUUAGAAAUGUGAAGCGGAAAUAAACCGAAAUAAACAAACUAAAGCGGAAUCUUUUGCCGGUUACAUUAUUUUGUCUACUUGGCCACAGUCAACAAUUCAUGUUGAACUUCAAUAAUUUACAAAAAGAAAAAGAGACGAAUACCAUGAAACACCGAAAGCGUUCUUACCUAGAUGAUGCUUCAGGAAUUAAAUCAUCACAGACAACGUACACCAUGGCACCGGCUGCGAAGGCCAUUGCGUAAGGCAAGAGUGGCUCAAUCCACGAUACGCCAAUGACUCCUAUUAAUCCAGCUAUAGGUUCAACCAUUCCACUCAGUUGGCCAUACC
rnacentral:lncRNA from 1 species